GCGACACACACAUACACACACUGAACAACGAGGGCUUCAGGAUACGCUUGAAACUCCGUCACCUGCUCCAUGCAGCGAUUGUCCAGGCGUUCCUGUUGGUGCGAACGCGUACACGCCGUCGGCUUCCCAGCUGAUAAGGAAAGUGCACAGCUCUGAGCACUGGAAGAAAACGGCGUCAUCUUUGAAGGUGUGAAGGUAAAAACACACACACACACACACACAUCUUCCCCGGUGCAUGUGAUGGGGUGUCUGCUGCCUUCCCCUCUGCAGCCAGUGUUCUUUUGAUAUCGUCCGGCGGAAGGUUCAAUCUGGGCCUCAGCUGUGGGGAAGAGCAGCGGCUCGGGGGCUUAACGGGACCGAGCGAGAGCCCUGGAGAUAGCAGGUGCUGGAUGCCGUGACCUUCCCAUCCCCAGGCCGGCAUUCCUGCCUGUCACUCCCCCCCCGCCCGGGGUCUGUGCAUGUAUCGUCUCCACCCACACCAUCUGGAGCCGUUUGUCCUGUGUUGGAAACGAGGGUGUCCGAAAGCGCGCCGAGCACUCAUCGGCGACGCCGCGACUUUGAUGAAGAGAAUGAUAAUCGACUGGCGUAGCACGUCGCUACGCUAAUCCUCAAAUUGGGGCGGCCGUAGCUCAGCGGGGUAAGGGGGGGGGGGGGUCGUCCUGCAACCCCGAGGUCGCCGCUUCGAUCCCCGCUCUCCCCAUUAGUCGCCAGUCGAAGUGUCCAUGAGCAAGGCACUGAACCCCCAGUUGCUCCCCGGGCGCCUCACUGCAGCCCACUGCUCCUCAAUAACUCAGGAGGAGAACACAUGUCGUUGCCUGUGUACCUGAACACAAUCCAAUUCAAAUGCAACGGACAUGUUCUUGAGGUUAAGGGCUAUGAUUUGUCCUCGGGACCACGGCCAAGCGUAAAGCCACAUGCCGAUGAUGACGACCGCCCGAGAGACUCCUCAGGAUGCUGGUUACCUUCACAUUGAAAAUGCGGAAGGUUAUGUUUUGAUCGCCGUGUAUUUAUUUAUUUAUUUAUUUGUAUGCGUGUUACUCGCAUAAGUAAAAAAGUAUUAAACCGGAUCGCAUGAAAUUUGGUGGGAUGAUUGGUUAUUAUCCGGGGACCAUUUGAUUAGAUUUUGGGACCGAUCGGGUCAAAGGUCAAGGUCAUGAAAAGGUCAAAAUCUUCUUUUUACCAUAGCGCGGUCAAUUUCUAUCCAAUUGGCAUGCAACUAAUGCCAACAUGUUCAUAAUGCAAUGCCCAAUCUUGUGAUAUGCGAAGGUAUGCGCUCUACCGAGUGCCCGUUCUAGUUUGGUCAUGCAGCUGGUGUGGAAUAUUUAAUGGCUGAUAAGCGACAGCAAUGGCUUCUCUCACUGUCAGCAGUUUCCAUUCGAAUCCUGCAGAAGAGGAGAAAUCUGCUCCCUAUCCUCUCUACACCUCUUAUCAUAAGCAGCCUGUGAGCAUGCACUGGGAAAUCACCGCGUCACUUAUUCAGUCAAAUACACACGGUACGUGUCAGGGAGACUAAUAUUAUCACCUCGACCGACGAAGUCGACGCACUGGAGAGUUAAACGCUGCUGUUCUGGGGUCUUCAUUCGGUUAUUAACAGUCAGAAGUCUAAAGUUUAAAGACCUGCUCACACCAGCAUUCUGUGCACACGAAUCGCAUUACGGUCGACUUUGAAUUCGAGCAGUCGACCAAUAGACACGUUGACAGAGCCGGACCGUCCGCGACGCUCACUCGCCGAGCCGCGUCGCGGCGGUCGAAAGAAGAGAACGGUUGCUGAACAUACAAUGAGCCGUCGUCCGCGGGCCCCUCGAGGACAGUGGGGGUCAUCUGCAGAUGACCUCCGUCACCUUCCCUCUCUGGCCUCUCCUCGGGUUCUAGUGUAGUCACAGAAGCCCGGCCAGACACACAGGGAUUCCAAACUGGGCACGUUGGACCAAACGGGCCAUCCGUCUCCCUCUGUAAUUGGACACUGUGGAUUAGAAGGAGACGGCGGCGUUUCCCAGCCAAGUGGGCUAGUUACUGUUUAUUUGGAAUUAAUUACCAAGGAGAGUGGAAACCUCGCAGUUUCCCAAAAGAGCGAAUCCAGACACUUGAGGCCCGAAGGAGAGGAAGGAGAGCGCCUGAACCCAAAGCCAUGGCGACGGAGCGGGGACCGUUGGGAUCGGUGUUCGGACCCUCUUAUAUAACAGCUGACGUUUAUUAUGUUUGAAUCUCUGGAUGAUGUGUCAGGGGGGCGUUGCCCUCCUCCGCCGGUUCUGUCCCCUUAAAACUCAGGCGGCGGAUGAAUGGGUUUCUUCAGCGGGUGUCCUCCUCGGUGUGACGCCGGUCGCCGCUCUCACGCCGCGGCUGCGUUCCAAGAAUGUCAGGACAAGCGUCUAUAUCUCCUGAAGUGUGUGAGGACGCAGCACCCAGCCACCCCGGCACCGACCGACACCUCAUUUCACUGGCAGAAACCCAAGCCCAUGGCGAUAUGAGUUUACAGUUGGUUUAUAUACUGUAAAUACUAACACCUUCUUGUUCUUGAAUAUUACCACCUUCUGUAUCGUGUUUGAUUUUCUUGUUCUUUGUUAUCGUGAUAUUUCUAAACUGUUGACUCGGCACAAAUGGCAAAUAAAACCUUGAAACUUGAAACUUA